rnacentral:rRNA from 1 species
CCUACGGGAGGCUGCAGUGGGGAAUUUUGCGCAAUGCUCGUAAGAGUGACGCAGCGACGCCGCGUGAAUGACGAAGGCCUUCGGGUCGUAAAGUUCUUUCGACAGGGAAGAAAAUGCCUAUAAGUAACUGUGUAUGUAUUGACGGUACCUGUAUAAGCAGCCCCGGCUAACUCCGUGCCAGCAGCCGCGGUAAUACGGAGGGGGCGAGCGUUGUUCGGAGUGACUGGGCGUAAAGAGCACGUAGGCGGUGUUGUAAGUCAUUAGUCAAAGACUAGAGCUGAACUUUAGUAAGGCUAGUGAUACUAUACUACGAGAGUAUCAGAGAGGAUUGCAGAAUUCCUGGUGUAGCGGUGAAAUGCGUAGAUAUCAGGAGGAAUACCGUUGGCGAAGGCGGCAAUCUGGCUGGAAACUGACGCUGAGGUGCGAAAGCGUGGGUAGCAAACAGGAUUAGAUACCCGGGUAGUC